rnacentral:rRNA from 1 species
UACGGCCAUACCACCCUGAGAACGCCCGAUCUCGUCUGAUCUCGGAAGCUAAGCAGGGUCGGGCCCGGUUAGUACUUGGAUGGGAGACCGCCUGGGAAUACCGGGUGCUGUAGGCU